UACGUAGGGUGCAAGCGUUAAUCGGAAUUACUGGGCGUAAGGCGUGCGCAGGCGGUUUCGUAAGUCUGUCGUGAAAUCCCCGGGCUUAACCUGGGAAUGGCGAUGGAGACUGCGAGGCUAGAGUUUGGCAGAGGGGGGUAGAAUUCCACGUGUAGCAGUGAAAUGCGUAGAGAUGUGGAGGAACACCGAUGGCGAAGGCAGCCCCCUGGGUCAAAACUGACGCUCAUGCACGAAAGCGUGGGGAGCAAACAGG
rnacentral:rRNA from 1 species